GACGAACGCUGGCGGCGUGCUUAACACAUGCAAGUCGAACGGAAAGGCCUGCUUUCCCUUGUGGAUUGCGGGUACUCGAGUGGCGAACGGGUGAGUAACACGUGAGUGAUCUGCCCCCAACUUGGGUAUAAGCCUGGGAAACUGGGUCUAAUUCCCGAUAGGACUGCAGGGUGGUGCCUGUGGUGGAAAACGAUUUUCUAGUGGUUGGGGAUGAGCUGGCGGCCUAUCAGCUUGUUGGUGGGGUAAUGGCCUACGAAGGCGGCGACGGGUAGCCGGCCUGAGGGGGGGGACGGCCGCAUUGGGACUGAGAUACGGCCCAGACGCCUACGGGAGGCAGCAGUGGGGAAGAUGGCACAAUGGGCGGAAGCCUGAUGCAGCGACGCCGCGUGGGGGAUGACGGGCUUCGGGUUGUAAACUCCUUUCGACCGCGAGGAAGCCACCUGGUUGGAGGGGUGGUGACGGUAGUGGUAGAAGAAGCACCGGCUAACUACGUG
rnacentral:rRNA from 1 species